AGAGUUUGAUCCUGGCUCAGAACCAACGUUGGCGGCNUGCUUAACACAUGCAAGUCNAACGAGAAAAUGUCCUUCGGGAAGCGAGUNGNANUGGCGCACGGGUGAGUAACACGUGGAUGAUCUGUCCAGGUGUUCGNGAUAGCCCUUCGAAAGGGGGAUUAAUACCAGAUACNUUGAUUNGUCNUACAGACGAAUUAAGAANGGUGGCCUCUAUUUAUCAGCUAUCGCAUUUGGANGAAUCUGCGUAACAUUACUUUGUUGGUGGGGUAACGGCCUACCCAAGACUUCCAUGUGUNACCGGGUCUGAAAAGGNUGAUCCAGNC
rnacentral:rRNA from 1 species